AGUAUAGACGAAUGAUUAUCUAAAUGGGUCAUAUACUAUUUCAGCACGCUAAUGUAGAUCAACUAAACAGGGUUCUAUAAAAAGGUAUUAAAGUUUGGAACCAUAAACAAGACAAAUACAUUAAAAUAAAACAAUCUUUAAAAUAUUAUAAAUAUAAUGCCUUUAGGGCUUUCUAGGAAUGGAUUUUUGUGCCUGUUGCUUUAAAUGGAAAGGAGCUGCUGCUAAUUGCACCCCCUUUUAUGUUGCCUUCCUCAAGGGGGCAUUUGUUUCUUGCAGGUCCAUUUCUGCAAACAGGCAGAAAUGUGAGACUUUAAUUGUACUUAAAAGCCACAUUUAAGUGUAUAACGGAGAUUUUGCACAAUAUAGCCAAUUUAUUGAAACAGUAUGAUCAUAAUACUUCAGAAAAAUGUGAAAAUAUGUUCAGUUGUAGUAAAUGUCAAAGUAAAAGUAUAAUGGUU